rnacentral:rRNA from 1 species
AACGAACGCUGGCGGCAUGCCUAACACAUGCAAGUCGAACGAGACCUUCGGGUCUAGUGGCGCACGGGUGCGUAACGCGUGGGAAUCUGCCCUGGGGUGCGGAAUAACUCGGAGAAAUCCGUGCUAAUACCGCAUAAUGUCUUCGGACCAAAGAUUUAUCGCCCUGGGAUGAGCCCGCGUAGGAUUAGCUAGUUGGUGGGUAAAGGCCUACCAAGGCGACGAUCCUUAGCUGGUCUGAGAGGAUGAUCAGCCACACUGGGACUGAGACACGGCCCAGACUCCUACGGGAGGCAGCAGUGGGGAAUAUUGGACAAUGGGCGAAAGCCUGAUCCAGCAAUGCCGCGUGAGUGAUGAAGGCCCUAGGGUUGUAAAGCUCUUUACCCGGGAUGAUAAUGACAGUACCGGGAGAAUAAGCUCCGGCUAACUCCGUGCCAGCAGCCGCGGUAA